GACGAACGCUGGCGGCGUGCUUAACACAUGCAAGUCGAACGAAGAGCGAUGGAAGCUUGCUUCUAUCAAUCUUAGUGGCGAACGGGUGAGUAACGCGUAAUCAACCUGCCCUUCAGGGGGGGACAACAGUAGGAAACGACUGCUAAUACCGCAUACGACCUAAGCUCGGCAUCGAGGGUAAAUGAAAGGCGGCCUCUACAUGUAAGCUAGCAUUGAAGGAGGGGAGUGGGGCUGUUUAGGUAGUAGGAGGGGUCAGGGCCCACGCAGGCGAGGGUAAGGGGUCCGUCGGAGAUGAUGAGCGGCCAGAUUGGGAGUGUGACAGGGCCCAGACGCCUACGGGAGGCAGCAGUGGGGAAUCUUGCGCAAUCGACGAAAGUCUGACGGAGAAACGCCGCGGGAGGGAUGACGGCCGUCGGGUUGUAAAGCUCUGUUAAUCGGGACGAAAGGCCUUCUUGCGAAUAGUGAGAAGGAUUGACGGUAACGGAAUAGAAAGCCACGGCUAACUACGUG
rnacentral:rRNA from 1 species